AACGCUGGCGGCAGGCUUAACACAUGCAAGUCGAGCGGGCGUAGCAAUACGUCAGCGGCAGACGGGUGAGUAACACGUGGGAACGUACCUUUUGGUUCGGAACAACACAGGGAAACUUGUGCUAAUACCGAAUAAGCCCUUACGGGGAAAGAUUUAUCGCCGAAAGAUCGGCCCGCGUCUGAUUAGCUUGUUGGUGAGGUAACGGCUCACCAAGGCGACGAUCAGUAGCUGGUCUGAGAGGAUGAUCAGCCACACUGGGACUGAGACACGGCCCAGACUCCUACGGGAGGCAGCAGUGGGGAAUAUUGGACAAUGGGGGCAACCCUGAUCCAGCCAUGCCGCGUGAGUGAUGAAGGCCCUAGGGUUGUAAAGCUCUUUUGUGCGGGAAGAUAAUGACGGUACCGCAAGAAUAAGCCCCGG
rnacentral:rRNA from 1 species